rnacentral:rRNA from 1 species
CGGACGGGUGAGUAACGCGUGGGUAACCUGCCUCGUACAGGGGGACAACAGUUGGAAACGACUGCUAAUACCGCAUAAGCGCACGAUACUGCAUGGUAUUGUGUGAAAAACUGAGGUGGUACGAGAUGGACCCGCGUCUGAUUAGCUGGUUGGUGGGGUAACGGCCUACCAAGGCGACGAUCAGUAGCCGACCUGAGAGGGUGACCGGCCACAUUGGGACUGAGACACGGCCCAAACUCCUACGGGAGGCAGCAGUGGGGAAUAUUGCACAAUGGGGGAAACCCUGAUGCAGCGACGCCGCGUGAAGGAAGAAGUAUUUCGGUAUGUAAACUUCUAUCAGCAGGGAAGAAAAUGACGGUACCUGAGUAAGAAGCCCCGGCUAACUACGUGCCAGCAGCCGCGGUAAUACGUAGGGGGCAAGCGUUAUCCGGAUUUACUGGGUGUAAAGGGAGCAUAGACGGUAAUGUAAGUCUGAUGUGAAAGCCCGGGGCUCAACCCCGGGACUGCAUUGGAAACUAUGUAACUAGAGUACCGGAGAGGUAAGCGGAAUUCCUAGUGUAGCGGUGAAAUGCGUAGAUAUUAGGAGGAACACCAGUGGCGAAGGCGGCUUACUGGACGGAAACUGACGUUGAGGCUCGAAAGCGUGGGGAGCAAACAGGAUUAGAUACCCUGGUAGUCCACGCCGUAAACGAUGACUACUA